rnacentral:rRNA from 1 species
CCUACGGGAGGCAGCAGUGAGGAAUAUUGGUCAAUGGGCGCGAGCCUGAACCAGCCAAGUAGCGUGAAGGAUGAAUGCCCUACGGGUUGUAAACUUCUUUUAUAUGGGAAUAAAACGUUCCACGUGUGGGAUUUUGUAUGUACCAUAAGCAUAAGGAUCGGCUAACUCCGUGCCAGCAGCCGCGGUAAUACGGAAGAUCCGAGCGUUAUCCGGAUUUAUGGGGUUUAAAGGGAGCGUAGGUGGAUUGUUAAGUCUGUUGUGAAAGUUUUCGGCUCAACCGUAAAAUUGCAGUUGAUACUGGCAGUCUUGAGUACAGGAGAGGUGGGCGGAAUUCGUGGUGUAGCGGUGAAAUGCUUAGAUAUCACGAAGAACUCCGAUUGCGAAGGCAGUUCACUGGACUGCAACUGACACUGAGGCUCGAAAGUGUGGGUAUCAAACAGGAUUAGAUACCCCUGUAGUC